CUACGGGUCGCUCCAGUGGGGAAUAUUGCACAAUGGAGGAAACUCUGAUGCAGCAACGCCGCGUGGAGGAUGACACUUUUCGGAGCGUAAACUCCUUUUAUAUAGGAAGAAGAUGACGGUACUAUAUGAAUAAGCGCCGGCUAACUCCGUGCCAGCAGCCGCGGUAAUACGGAGGGCGCAAGCGUUACUCGGAAUCACUGGGCGUAAAGAGCGUGUAGGCGGAUUAAAAAGUCAGAAGUGAAAUCCUAUAGCUUAACUAUAGAACUGCUUCUGAAACUCUUAAUCUAGAAUAUGGGAGAGGUAGAUGGAAUUUCUGGUGUAGGGGUAAAAUCCGUAGAGAUCAGAAGGAAUACCGAUUGCGAAGGCGAUCUACUAGAACAUUAUUGACGCUGAGACGCGAAAGCGUGGGGAGCAAACAGGAUUAGAUACCCCAGUAGUC
rnacentral:rRNA from 1 species